rnacentral:rRNA from 2 species
CUGAUGCGUUGUUGGGUAGGGGAGCGUUCUGUAAGCCUGCGAAGGUGUGCUGUGAGGCAUGCUGGAGGUAUCAGAAGUGCGAAUGCUGACAUAAGUAACGAUAAAGCGGGUGAAAAGCCCGCUCGCCGGAAGACCAAGGGUUCCUGUCCAACGUUAAUCGGGGCAGGGUGAGUCGACCCCUAAGGCGAGGCCGAAAGGCGUAGUCGAUGGGAAACGGGUUAAUAUUCCCGUACUUGGUGUUACUGCGAAGGGGGGACGGAGAAGGCUAUGUUGGCCGGGCGACGGUUGUCCCGGUUUAAGCGUGUAGGUGUGUGUUCCAGGUAAAUCCGGUUCACUUUAACACUGAGGCGUGAUGACGAGGCACUACGGUGCUGAAGCAACAAAUGCCCUGCUUCCAGGAAAAGCCUCUAAGCAUCAGGUAACAUCAAAUCGUACCCCAAACCGACACAGGUGGUCAGGUAGAGAAUACCAAGGCGCUUGAGAGAACUCGGGUGAAGGAACUAGGCAAAAUGGUGCCGUAACUUCGGGAGAAGGCACGCUGACACGUAGGUGAAGUGAUUUACUCACGGAGCUGAAGUCAGUCGAAGAUACCAGCUGGCUGCAACUGUUUAUUAAAAACACAGCACUGUGCAAACACGAAAGUGGACGUAUACGGUGUGACGCCUGCCCGGUGCCGGAAGGUUAAUUGAUGGGGUCAGCGCAAGCGAAGCUCCUGAUCGAAGCCCCGGUAAACGGCGGCCGUAACUAUAACGGUCCUAAGGUAGCGAAAUUCCUUGUCGGGUAAGUUCCGACCUGCACGAAUGGCGUAAUGAUGGCCAGGCUGUCUCCACCCGAGACUCAGUGAAAUUGAACUCGCUGUGAAGAUGCAGUGUACCCGCGGCAAGACGGAAAGACCCCGUGAACCUUUACUAUAGCUUGACACUGAACAUUGAGCCUUGAUGUGUAGGAUAGGUGGGAGGCUUUGAAGUGUGGACGCCAGUCUGCAUGGAGCCGACCUUGAAAUACCACCCUUUAAUGUUUGAUGUUCUAACGUGGACCCGUGAUCCGGGUUGCGGACAGUGUCUGGUGGGUAGUUUGACUGGGGCGGUCUCCUCCUAAAGAGUAACGGAGGAGCACGAAGGUUGGCUAAUCCUGGUCGGACAUCAGGAGGUUAGUGCAAUGGCAUAAGCCAGCUUGACUGCGAGCGUGACGGCGCGAGCAGGUGCGAAAGCAGGUCAUAGUGAUCCGGUGGUUCUGAAUGGAAGGGCCAUCGCUCAACGGAUAAAAGGUACUCCGGGGAUAACAGGCUGAUACCGCCCAAGAGUUCAUAUCGACGGCGGUGUUUGGCACCUCGAUGUCGGCUCAUCACAUCCUGGGGCUGAAGUAGGUCCCAAGGGUAUGGCUGUUCGCCAUUUAAAGUGGUACGCGAGCUGGGUUUAGAACGUCGUGAGACAGUUCGGUCCCUAUCUGCCGUGGGCGCUGGAGAACUGAGGGGGGCUGCUCCUAGUACGAGAGGACCGGAGUGGACGCAUCACUGGUGUUCGGGUUGUCAUGCCAAUGGCACUGCCCGGUAGCUAAAUGCGGAAGAGAUAAGUGCUGAAAGCAUCUAAGCACGAAACUUGCCCCGA